rnacentral:sRNA from 1 species
CCCGCAGCUCCGGCCCGGCGGCGAUGGCGCGGAGCGUGCGCGUGCUGGUGGACAUGGACGGCGUCCUGGCCGACUUCGAGGCCGGCCUCCUGCGGGGCUUCCGCCGCCGCUUCCCUGAGGAGCCGCACGUGCCGCUGGAGCAGCGCCGCGGCUUCCUGGCCCGCGAGCAGUACCGCGCCCUGCGGCCUGACCUGGCGGAUAAAGUGGCCAGUGUGUACGAAGCCCCGGGCUUUUUCCUGGACCUGGAGCCCAUCCCGGGAGCCUUGGACGCUGUGCGGGAGAUGAACGACCUACCGGAGUAAGGAGAGAGGGGGGCGGGCGGAGUCCUGGGCGGGCUCCUGGCUCCCGGCGGUAACGGCGUCCUUCUCCGCAGCACGCAGGUCUUCAUCUGCACCAGCCCCCUGCUGAAGUACCACCACUGUGUGGGUGAGAAGGUGUGGCUGCCCCGCCCCUACUCCGCACGUGUAGCUGCCUAAAUCCUGAUUUUAAAAAGAAACCACCAGAAACCCAGAAGUACCGCUGGGUGGAGCAGCACCUGGGGCCCCAGUUCGUAGAACGAAUUAUCCUGACAAGGGACAAGACGGUGGUCUUGGGGGACCUGCUCAUUGAUGACAAGGACACAAUUCGAGGCCAGGAGGAGACCCCAAGCUGGGAGCACAUCUUGUUCACCUGCUGCCACAAUCGGCACCUGGUCCUGCCCCCGACAAGGAGACGGAUGCUCUCCUG